rnacentral:rRNA from 1 species
AACGAACGCUGGCGGCAUGCCUAACACAUGCAAGUCGAACGAGAUCUUCGGGUCUAGUGGCGCACGGGUGCGUAACGCGUGGGAAUCUGCCCUUUGGUUCGGAAUAACAGUUGGAAACGACUGCUAAUACCGGAUGAUGACGAAAGUCCAAAGAUUUAUCGCCAGAGGAUGAGCCCGCGUAGGAUUAGCUAGUUGGUGUGGUAAAGGCGCACCAAGGCGACGAUCCUUAGCUGGUCUGAGAGGAUGAUCAGACACACUGGGACUGAGACACGGCCCAGACUCCUACGGGAGGCAGCAGUGGGGAAUAUUGGACAAGGGGCGAAAGCCUGAUCCAGCAAUGCCGCGUGAGUGAUGAAGGCCUUAGGGUUGUAAAGCUCUUUGACCCGGGAUGAUAAUGACAGUACCGGGAGAAUAAGCUCCGGCUAACUCCGUGCCAGCCGCCGCAGUAA